rnacentral:lncRNA from 1 species
AAGAGUCUUCGCUCACUCUGCACUCCCAUCGACACCACAGGCUUCAGCUCUCUGCGCUAUCUGUGGCUAGAUAGCCUGCUCACAGGAUCUAGGUCCCGUGUCACUUGGAUGUGACCAACUGCCAACAGAGAGAGGAAAGACAGAAGCAGCUGCUUAAAAGCCAAGCCCGGGGUUUGGAAGUUGUCUCUAAGAUGGCAACAGGCUCUUGGAUCAGACAAAUCAGCUCUUUUGGAGAAAAAAGCCUUCUGCUCAAACACGGCAGGUAUAAAAUACGGAGGAGGAACUUCAUAGCUCAGAGCGCAAGUGUGACUAUUUCCCCACCAGCCCAACCCACUGCUCAAGGUGAUAACCCUGACUCCCCUGUUGUGAUCACUGGCAAGGGUGGGCUGUACUGCUAUCCUCUGUCCUUAGUAAAGUUGUCCUGGACUCAGUCUGGAUCUUGCUGGACCUCUGACUCCAUCUUGAGUGGCCUGUGGGGCAUCGUUAGCCGAACUGGGUUUCUUGUGGUCAAGGAAGAUACAAAAGAGCUGGUGGGGUGGCCACGUCAAGGCCUGGCUUGUUCAGGGAACCUUCUCUCACCAGGAACCGCGGGAGGCCUGACCCCGGUGCAAGGCCACAUGGAAAAGCUGGCAAAACAGCCUGCCAUCGGCAGAGCACAGGAAGCGGUUUGCUCUGUGGCUACACCACCCAUGUGUUACACAAUGUGAUACGACGGGGGAGAAGUGGCUUUCUUCCUCUUCCAAAUUAAAAUAGCCUUUCCUUAACGAA